CCUGUCGCCAAUCCCAGCAGCUGCAGAUGAGGCAUCAGUAACACAUGCCCGUGCUGCUACAUGCCCGGAUGGAACUUCAGUUGCACGUAGGGUUGCCACCUGGCUGGUAUUUUACCGCCACAGAUGGUAUUUUGGCCACCCUGCCGGUCAAUAAGAUUACAAGGAUACUCAAUUUAUAUUUGUUUGCAUACCCAUCAAUUAGAAACUAAAAAGCAGCUGGACAAAAUUUUCAACAACUUGGCAGGUGAUGACGACUCCGGGACUUAGGGUAAUGCCCGUUCUGUUUGUCACUGGCUGAGGCAGGUCAUCUUUGUAUCUAGAAACAGGCUGAGUGGGCAGUUCCUUCAACGACAUCACAGGAAACAGCAGUGAGCAGCAGGGGCCAGAAGCCACGGAAUAGGCAGCUGCAGGGGAUCAGAGGAGGGCAACAGUGGGCACCAUUUGGCUUAUCUGCCUAGAGCACUAUAAUACUUGUCAAUGCCUGAGGUGAGGUGUAGGACACUAAAAUUAUUUAGAAGAGAUAUACUAUAGGAUACAGCUCCAUGUGCAUUCUCCGAUACCACACCAUAUUAUGUACUGUAAAGAACAGCAAUGGAAGAGCAGAGCCAGGACCCACUCGGAGGGCAACUAAGGACCACUUGUGGGCCAUGGGCUGCCAUCUACCCCAACACUAAUCUAUCCUUACACCUGCUGUAGCAUAUAAAUGACAAACUCUAUAAAUAAA